GCUUUAUGCUGAUGAUGCAAAACCUUGCUUGUCAACUCUCAACCCCCCCCCCCCCCCAGAUUUCCUGGUCUACGGUGGAAGCUGGAAAGAUGUUUUUAUUUACAAGCUCUGAGAAUGAGAAGCUGAGGAUGCCCGCCUCCUGGGACACCUCCCCAGCACCGCAAGACUGGCGCCCAUGCAGGAGCCAGCGUCCCCUUGUACCCUCAGAGCCUCCACGGGGACGAAGUUUUCAAGACUACAGCAAGAUUUCAUCUGGCAAUUCACAUGCUUCUCACCACUCCCCGAUCAGGUUCAGCGUAAGAACAGCUGGCAUUUCCUGAAGAAGGAUGAGAGACAUACGGAGCAGAAUCACCUAGCUACCAGAAUCUGAAGCAGAGAUACUCCAACUACCUGCAAAUGAACAGUAAGAAGCAAAGCUGUCCACCAAUCUCAUCCUAGAUCAAUUCAUUCUCAGAUGAACCAUGCUUGAGAUGCUGGUUGUUCUUGACCGCUACUUUGGGGAAGUUCUUUCUACAGUAAUUGCUGAUUGAUAUAUGUCCUGAACACUUCAAACAGGUUGUUUAUGUCACCAAAAUUCCAAGUUGCAGUAACUUAGAAUUUUACAUUGUAUUCACUUACGUAAUUUCAAAUUUUAGAAAUAUUGUCAUACAUUAAUGAUUUAUUUACUUAUUCUCAAUUACUGAAGACACUGAAGCCAGGAGUCAAAAAAAGUGAUAAAAAAAAUCAACUAGAGACUAUUUAGAAAAUGGAAAAAAUAUAACUUUCUGUAUCUUUUAAAAGUAAAGAUACACAGAAAAAGAUGUAAUUGUAAAUGCUUUUCAUAUUAACCAAGAAAGAAAAAGUGUAUACAUACACUUAUAUGUAUAAAAGUGAAUAAAAAUAUGAAAGAAAAAUUCAUAUCAAACUUUAAUAGGACUUACUGCUAUAGAGGCAGAGCCAUUGGAUAUGGUGUUGGUAGCAAUAGGGAAGAAGAUAAAAUUGAAUAAAAAUUGAAUUGUUCUCAAAUAUAGUAUUUUAUUUUAUCAUAUAGUUUUAAAAAGAAGCCAAGGGGCCCCUGGGUGGCUCAGUCAGUUAGAUAGCCAACUCUUAAUUUUGGCUCAGGUCAUGCAUGAUCUUGGGGUCCUGAAAUUGAGUUCCACAAUGGGCUCUGCACAUGGAGUCUGCCUCAUAUCCUCUCUCCCUCUUUCUCUUUCCAAAAAAGAAAGAAAUAAAGAAGGAAAAAAAGAAAGAAAGAAGAAAGAAAGAAAGAAAGAAAGAAAGAAAGAAAGAAAGAAAGCAAGCAAGCUAAAAUAUUAGAGUUUAUUAUCUUUAGGGAUUUUAACCAUAGUUAUAUAUAUUUUUUGUUUUUAUGAUUUAGUUUGGGUUCUCCUGAAAGCAUAGCCUGAGAAAAAGACUUGCAAUCAGAUAGUGUUUGGGGGGAAUUGAAACAAGGAGCCAUACUGAAGGCAGAGAAAGAUAGAAAAGGUAAAAAAGCUGAUGUAAAGUUACCGCUGUUGGCAACAGGUCCUCUAUUCCACUGGAGCCACCUGAAAAGUAUUCAGAAUAUCUUCCAGAUGGAUUGGAGGCUGAAAUAUGUAUCUUCUGCCCCUUUCUUGGAUUGAGGGUUGACUGCAGGGGUAUUAACUUCCCUAUGUUCUAGGUCAUGAUUCCACAAGAACUAAGUGGGUUCUUCAAAUGUUGGAGAAGUUCUAGGGCCAAAAAUAAAAGAAAUGAUCCUUGGAUGCUUGAGGGAUUACGAUAACAUAAGGUAAAUCUGAGCUUGAAUGGAACUGUCAAUGACAACUGUGACUAUAAUCAGUGAUGGUUCAAAGGGAUUUUCUUCUGUUUAUUUAUUCUUUAUCAAAGGAAAUAAAAUUUAUUCUGAAAGUGUUUUUUAGCAAAAUACAAUUUCCCUCCCAGUUAUAGGAAGGAAGGAUUAUUGGAAGCAUUUUUAGUAUUUACAUUCACAGCAUCAUACGUUUAAAUACCCUACUGCAAACUUUAGAACUGCCUCAAAUAUCUACAUAUUUUAUAAAUUGGUUGUAGCGUCAUUAAUUAAAUACACUGACAAGGAAACAUAGGCUUGCCAAGAUACAAUGCCUAAUGAUGGAUCAGUUUGAAAACUGCUGCAAAAUACAAAUGCUAAAUCUAAAAUGUUAAGAAAAACAUGAUUAAAAUAAAAUAGGUCUUUUGUUGUUUGUAGUCUAUUAUUUUAUUCAGUAAUUCUUCACUGGUUAGAACUAUUUUCAUUUAUUGCUGUAUAGCUCUCCAAAUGCGAAUGAUCAACCCAUCAACCUAUCUUGCCCCCGAUCUGAAAAGAAAGCUAUAGGAUUGAACAUCGCUUCAUGACCUCCGUAGUGAACCAGUCUUCUAGCACUGAUUUUUUCUAUUUCCUCCUCCUCCAAUAACCAGUCUCGAUGUGAAUUUCUUCAUCUUUCAUUUUGAUAAGUCAUUUAUUUAUCUAUUUACUCAACCAACUGACUUCUGAACCCUUGCUGUGUCCUAGAUACUUAAGGGAAGGUAAAUGAGAUAGACAUGGCCACUACCUUCACAGACCUGGAAGCUCUUAAUAAGUGGAACAAUCUUAUGAAUCAUCUUUCAGAUUUGACACAGCAUGGUUUAUCUAAUCUACCACCUUGGCUCUUCUUGACUAAAAGUUAUUUUGGACCUAACUUGGUUAACUCUGGUUGUCUUGGGGAAAUAACCCUCUCUCUUUGGGUCAGUUCUGCCCUUGUGAUGUUCCUAUUGCAGCAAAAUAACUUAAUUUUCCUUAAGGUUCUGUAACAGGGAGGGAAUUUAAUUCUCCUAAUUUGGAGAUUGUACGGUUGUGGCUAUACAUUUGCAAGGAUUACUUACAAUAUUUACUCUAAUGUUGAACCGUUCUGUUUAAUAGAUGCCUCAUAAAAUGGAGAAUGAUAAACAUUUUUUCAUUCUGGCAAAGAACUUGUUUGAGAAACACACCACAUUGAUUUUCUCUAUGUUUAUAUGAGCUCUACUCUUACUCUACUAACCAAUGUUGUUUCAACUUACAUCAGAGCCUAUUAAUUGUGGAGAAUCAUGCCAGGGCCUCCUGUGCCAUAUUUCUUUCAGGAAAUGCCUUUCCUCAACUAGGCCUAUCUUCAAAGAGCCAGUGGGGACAUUUUCUCCAGUUCCCAGCCUGAAUUUUUAAAAGCAUGUUUGCAUCCUUAUCUAGUGUCUUUUUGAUAGCAGAAUAUCCCCUGUCUGCUUGCAUUUGGCACCAUGGCUCCCUUCUUAAGUACUAAGGUCUUUGAUCUAUAUUUAUUUCAUGGCCUGAACAAGUCUUCUAAAUGAAUCUCUUGGGUUAUGCUAUUUACCCCACCUUUUCUUAAACUGCCUGAAAUAGAAACUAAUUUUCUUUAAUGGUUCAGAAACAUGUAAAUCUC
rnacentral:lncRNA from 1 species